GAUGAACGCUGACCGAAUGCUUAACACAUGCAAGUCAACUUGAACUUCGGUUUGGGUGGCGGACGGGUGAGUAACGCGUAAAGAACUUGCCUCACAGCUAGGGACAACAUUUGGAAACGAAUGCUAAUACCUGAUAUUAUGAUUAUAUGGCAUCGUAUAAUUAUGAAAGCUAUAUGCGCUGUGAGAGAGCUUUGCGUCCCAUUAGCUAGUUGGAGAGGUAACAGCUCGCCAAGGCGAUGAUGGGUAGCCGGCCUGAGAGGGUGAUCGGCCACAAGGGGACUGAGACACGGCCCGUACUCCUACGGGAGGCAGCAGUGGGGAAUAUUGGACAAUGGACCGAGAGUCUGAUACAGCAAUUCUGUGUGCACGAUGAAGUUUUUCGGAAUGUAAAGUGCUUUCAGUUGGGAAGAAAAAAAUGACGGUACCAACAGAAGAAGUGACGGCUAAAUACGUG
rnacentral:rRNA from 1 species